rnacentral:lncRNA from 1 species
AGAUACAGAAUAUGGAUUUAGAAUGCGAAGUCUCUAAGUCAAGGGAAAGGUCUAGGUCGAACAGUGGUGCCCUUCAACAAGUAAUACCCUACAUCUCAGCCAAAGAAUCUAUCAGUGAAUCCAUGGAUGGAUGCAUGAGGGAUCAGACAGCCCCUGUCCCACUAUGUCUGGCUCUAUGGAAAUGUGGGACUGGUGACACCCUCCUUCUCACAGUAUUAUAAGUAAAUGCAGCAGAGAGUCCACUCUUGAAGCUUGUGACUGGGAGGAAGAAAGCAUGGAGAGGAAGUAUGCAUUCAGAUCCACAGAGGAAAAUGGUAACCUUUGAAGUCUUCCCACAAAUCCCUAAACUAGGCCUAAGGCCAGAAGAGUUCUAUAUCAGAACGUUUUGGGAAUCGUCUUCAAAACCGGAAUCCAUUUGGCCAAUAAAGAGUCUAUUUGAAUUACAAA